AUUCCCAUCAAUCAGCCAAAAGAACCAACUCAACGCCACUGACGACGUAUCUCUUCCCGCAAGUAUAAAAUUCACGCAUAUAUCUUUCAAGAACUUGUCCGAAUAUGGCUCCCCGUUCUCGUCCUUCAGUCCCAUAAACACUGAUAACAGAACGGUGGCUUCCGUUGCCACCUCGAAGGCGUUGGCGAAGGGAAUCGCUGGUAAAUUAGGGCUCAAACAGCCGGGGUCAACGCCGAAGGCGAUCAUACAGACAUUGUCGAAAGUUAGGCGUAGAAGAAUGUCUUGGAGAUCAAUGGGCACCAAGUGUUCGACGAAAUGUCUGUCGAAAAUAGGGAGGAGCCGAGAAUGGACUAACACGUGGAGGGACUCAACAGUGAGUUGUCGAAACUUUGCUGAAUGGAAUUCGAUGCUGGUUGUCUUCCUCUGCUUGUGCCAAAUCUCGCCGUCGGCGUUGAAAAUUCCAUCACCGAGAAGGUCAUGGACUGUUUCACGGAAGAAGGAGCCUUUUGGGUACUUGAGAAACUCUGUUUUCAGAAUGUGCUCAAUGUUACGAGGAUCUGAAGUUACAACACAAUGCAAGCUACUAAACCAUGGCCCUUUGAAUCUGAAAGUUCCAUUUUGAUGGUAUAGCACUUCAGUGAUCCAUUCAUACAAGUUGCUUCGGAGUCCAGUGACUAAAGACGGUAACAUUCCGACAACCGGCCACACCGGUAGCCCCUGUUUUCUUCUUUGCCUCAAUGAUCUUAUUGCUGUAAAAAUAAAAAUUGCUAUGAAUAUCUCUAACAUUUGAAUGUCGGGUAAGAAGAAGAGCUUCCAUGCAACCAAUCUCUGAGAUGGGAAUUCACCGGAGGAGAUAGCGGUGAGGUUUCCGGAGCUCAACAUGGUGAUGGGCUAACGCUAACAGAGAAAGGGUGCAAAAACACACAUGAGAAAUACCUACUCUUUAAGUUAUCACAAGGAUCUGACACUCGACAAUUUAAGAGCGAGAGGAAGGCAAAGUGUUGGCAGAAAGGAAAUGAGAGAAAAGGGAGAGAGAUUGCUGAGGAGCAAAGACAGGGACUUGAUGGCCUGCCCCUCUCACAGUAGCCAAUAUGAGCCCUCCUCUGUAGGUUUCAACCCAACCAGCUACUUCUUGUUUGUGGAAAAUUACCAAAAGCUCAUCCAACAUAAGAUUGCAUCAAGCUUUGCGAGCACAUUUAACUUUGGAGAGUCCUUAUGAUCGGACACAAAAAACAAAGCUAGUUUUGGAAACUUACGUGCAUGGAGAAGAUUCGAGGAGUAGCAGUGAGAAGUGUUGGAGAAGUAAAGUUAGAAGAAGAAGAGAGACAAAUAGGAGAAUAAAUGCUAUAAAUAUCAAUGUCAGAGUAAGCUAAAGUAAAGCCUCUGGCAUGUUCUUCACAAUGAGUUGCUGCUGUUUGGUUAGUGGAGUUGGAAUCAGGAGUGAAUGAGCAUUCAUUCAUUAUGUUGUGAUAUAGUUUAUCUGAAAUUAUCCCAUGGCUCCAUGCAUAUUCCACCAUUCCCUUUGAAUCUCUUUCAUCAUCAAUUGCUGCAUUCCCCAUCUGAUGAUUUCAAUCCUCACUUUAGUCCGUAUUUUGUGUUUUCUGAAUUUCUAACCAUUUACUUAUUUUCUUUUUAACUUUAAUUUAUUAUAAUAGUAAUAAUGGUAGUCCGAUCCAUUUAUUUUGCAAAUAUAUAUAGAUUGAUAAACUUGAUAAAGAUAGCCUUACCAUGAAACCCUUGAGAUUAAUAAAAGUAUCCUUUGAAGAAUUUUGGUUUCUUUCAUGAAUCAGGUCAGCUAGCUGAGGAACAUAAUGACCUAAUGAUGUAUUAAGUAAUUUAAUUUAGGGCCAUCAAAAUCUCAAAAGAAAAAAGUGAAUUAGAUUAGAAAAGAAAAGGAAUAAUACCAGCAUAGCUCUCUCCAGCAAGAUAGAAAUGAUGAAGUCUGAAAUUUGGAAAUCUUUUGAACCAACCAAUAAGAAAAGCAUAAGAAUCUUGGGCAGUGAUUUUAUCUCCAAGCUUUUCUAAAUCUGUUGAUUUGUUUGUGUAUGAAAAUCCCACUCCUAUUGGUGCCUCCAAAAACAGCAUAUUUGCAGCUGAACAACAUAACCCCAUUUUCAUCACUAUAUUAUAUAAUUUAAAUUAACUUUAAGAAAAUGUUUAAUUUCUUCUAAAACUUUAAUAAGUCUUUAAACUUAUUCUUGUGUCUAUGAAUGGUGUAUUUGCUUGAAAUAUAUAUCAAGUGUUUUACUUAAAAAAAUAAGUCAUUAAAAAAAAAAAGUGUUUGACGAUGUUUUUUGGAAUGCAUUUUAAAUUAAUUUUAUCAAAAUAGUUUAAAUAAAAAUAAAAUCUUCGAAGAACUUCUUUUUUUUUUUUUUUUUCUUAAGCCAAAUUAAAUAGACGCUAUAUCCUUGACUAUGUUUUUAUUUCCAAAUAUAUUAACACAAAAUUGAAUAUGUACAAAAUAAUGUUUUAUAAUCAAUUAGUUUUUACUUUUUAAAAAUAUAAUAAUAAUUAAGCUUAUAAACCCAGUCUAUUUGUUUUAUUAUCUAAUUUUCUUUUGUUUGAAGAGUGUUUUUAAGAAACUAAAUUAGAUGUGUUUGAAAAGUUGAGUAACUAUGAACUCUUAAAAUUAGUCUUUACAAUUUGACCAAUGGUUAAAAUAUUUCUAAUUUAUAGUAUAAUUUUGUGUAGGAAAAAAUAUAUACUUUUAUCAAAAUAUAAAGCAAAAGCCAAAUGGUGAAUAAAUAAGAUUUUAAAGUUUUAUCAGACACAAAAAAUUUAAUUUCAUGUUAGUAGAUUUGUUAAUCAUAAAAGAUGUAAAAGAUAAAUAACCGCUUCAUGUAUUAGGAAUAUACUAGAUAUAGAAACGGAAAGUUUAUAGAGACAUUUUUAAGGUCUAUAUAAAAUAGAAAAUUUGUAGAAAUAUUUUUCACAAGGGAACAAAUUAAGAAAAAAAAGAUUAAAAGACUAAAUAAUUAAAGUAAAUAAUUAAGGCUAUGAGUUUUGAUGUUUGAAAAUUAAGUUUUAUUUUUUCUUAAUUACUAUUAUCUGCAUCUUUCUAAUAUAAAAAUUGAAUUAUUAACCAAAUUCUCAAGUUUUAAGAACUAUUAUUUUUUAGUUUUCAAAAUUUGCUUGGUUUUUUAACAAAUUUAUCAAAUGCAAAUAACAAAUCUAAAAGUUUAGAACUCAUUUGGAUUCACUUAGAAAAUGAUUUAUAAAAAAUAAAAUAUUUUUUGUUUAUCAUUAUUAUUAUUAUUAUUAUAAAAAAUUGUUUAAAACAUAUUUUAAAAGUGUUGCUAUAACACUUUUUUUUCUUUCUAAAACGUAUCAAUUUUUAAAAAAUAAACAAUUAAAAAUGUAUUUUAAACAGACUCCUAAAAUUAAUUAAUUGAAAUGAAUGUUUAUUAUAAAGUAAAUAUUUAGAAAGAAAGGAAAUAAAAAAAAAAAAAGUUAGGAAGUGUAAGUUAAAAGGGAGGGUACCUUUGUUCCAAGAGAAAUCAUUGAGUUUCAAUUGGCCAUUGCUUUGAACAAGAAAGGGACCCAACUCUUGGGCAGCUCCAUAGGCUAUGGAUGAGCACCCUGGUCCUAUUAUCAUUAUCAUUAUCAAUAUCAAUAUAUCAACUUUCUUAAAUAACAUUCACAUAAUCAAAUCAAUAAUCUUACCUACUUGGAGUACCUAAUAAAGUUAAAAAUCCAAUUGUUUAAAUAAAAACACAAAAGAGAAAAAAGCAUCUUUUCAUCUUCUUCAUAAACUUUAUCCUUUUUCUUUAGGAAUAUUUUAUCCUUUUUAAUACGAACCUCGGAUUCACUCGAACGAGAUAUACUAAUCUCUUCUAGAUUUGACUAAUAAUAAAAAUAAAAAUCUCUUUUUAAUCUUCAUUCAUAAACUAUCUAACGUCAAAUUCUUUGGUUGGUUUCUUUGAGGUUAACCACUGUGUAUCACAUAUGGCUUGCUGCAAACUCUUCCCAUAAAUAACUACUCGACUACCUCGAGAAGAUUAUUGAGAAAAAUGAAGAACAAAAAUUUUGUAGUUGUACCUCAUUCAAAAUAUUCUAUUGCGAUGUAAGUCUUUACCUUCAAUUGAAAAAUAUUUUGUAUGUAGUGUUGAACACUUCAGUCCAAAAAAAAACUUAUCCAUGAAUAUGAGAAAAUGCAAGAGAUUAAGGAA